GGUUUCUUGAUUUUAUAUUUAGGAAAUUUAACCUGCCCACUGAUAAUUAUUAAAGGGCCGCAGUAUUUUGACUGUGCAAAGGUAGCAUAAUCAUUAGUCUUUUAAUUGAAGGCUGGUAUGAAUGGUUGGACGAGGUAAAUUCUGUUUUAUAUUAAUUUAAUUGAAUUUAGAUUUUAAGUGAAAAUACUUAAAUGUUUUUAAGGGACGAGAAGACCCUAUAGAGUUUAAUAUUUUAGUAAUUAAUUAAGUUAAAAAUUAAUUUUUGGUUAAUUAUAACAACUAUUUAAUUGGGGUGAUUAGGAGAUAAAUAAAACUCUUCUUUAAUAUUAAUAUUGUAUUUAGUUAAUAUGAUCCAUAUAAAUGAUUAAAAGAUUAAAUUACCUUAGGGAUAACAGCAUAAUUCUUUUUGAGAGUUCAUAUCGAAAAUGGAGUUUGUGACCUCGAUGUUGGAUUAAGAUUAGUUUUGGGUGUAGAUGUUCAAAAUUCUAGGUCUGUUCGACCUUUAAAAUCUUACA
rnacentral:rRNA from 1 species